rnacentral:tRNA from 1 species
AUUUUUUUAGUAAAAUUAUUAUGGGGCUUUUUGAUAACCCAGCUAAUAACAUUGAAGAAAA